UACGUAGGGUGCGAGCGUUGCCCGGAUUUAUUGGGCGUAAAGGGCGCGUAGGCGGCUCGGCACGUCCGUUGUGAAAUCGCCCGGCUCAACUGGGCGGGGUCAGCGGAUACGGUCGAGCUUGAGCAAGCUAGGGGGCAAUGGAAUUCCCGGUGUAGUGGUGGAAUGCGUAGAUAUCGGGAAGAACACCCGUGGCGAAGGCGGUUCUCUGGGACGGUACUGACGCUGAGACGUGAAAGCGUGGGGAGCGAACAGG
rnacentral:rRNA from 1 species